rnacentral:rRNA from 1 species
GACGAACCGUGCGAACGUUGUUCGGAAUCACUGGGCUUAAAGGGCGCGUAGGCGGCUUGCCAAGUCCGGGGUGAAAGCCUCCAGCUCAACUGGAGAAGUGCCUUGGAAACUGGCGAGCUCGAGCGAGGUAGGGGUCGUGGGAACUUCCGGUGGAGCGGUGAAAUGCGUUGAUAUCGGAAGGAACGCCGGUGGCGAAAGCGCACGACUGGACCUCUCCUGACGCUGAGGCGCGAAAGCUAGGGGAGCAAACAGGG